rnacentral:pre_miRNA from 1 species
GUUAUAUUCCCUCCGUCCCAAAAUUCUUGUCUUACAUUUGUUUAGAUACGGAUGUAUCUAACACUAAAAUGUAACUAGAUACAUCCGUAUUUAGAUAAAUUUAAGACAAGAAUUUUGGGACGGAGGGAGUAUUUU